rnacentral:misc_RNA from 1 species
UAGAGGGCAAGUGCUUCUGCGAAAAUGAGAAUGAGAAUCAUCCCUACGAAGAGCUUUGGCUGUUGUGCAUUGGCCCUGACUCCGGCAUCACCAACAAUCCCAAUAGCCAUCCCAGCAGCAAGCCCCGCCAGCCCGCACGACAAUCCAGACGAUAGAUGAGCAUAUCCGUCAAACAGAUAAUACGACUUCGCCUUAGGAUUGAUCCCGGUACUAA